rnacentral:lncRNA from 1 species
AGAGCAGUAUUGCUACUCCCCAACAUGUAGCAACAUUGAAGUUGCAAUUUGCAUAGAGAUAAAGUGACCUAGUAGGAUUCAACAUCUUGGUAUGAGAGUUGGUGGGAUUUAUUAUGUAGGGUACCUUACAAUGAGUAAGCUGAUCUAGAGGAUCAAAACCAAUCAGGGUGUUUAUGGGAAGUGAGAGCUCAUCGCCUGCCCUUGGGAACUGCAGGCUUGUCUCCUAUAUAGGCAAUGAAUGAAUGGCGAUCUCAGCAUGACAUAUGUGUUGAGAGAGAGAGAGAGAAAGGAGAAAAACCUUAUUCACAUUCAUUGUAAUCUCUACUUACAAUUGAGAGAUAUAUAUAUACAAGGCUAGUAACUACCAUACAUGUGACCUAUAUUAACAAGGAAAGAUAGUAUACUAUACAUACAUUAUAUUCAACACUCCCCCUCAAGCUGGAGCAUAUACGUCAUAUGCACCAAGCUUGUUACAAAUAUAUUUAAUCCUAGGACCUCUGAGAGAUUUAGUGAAGAUGUCUGCUAGUUGAUCAUUUGAAUUGACAAAACUUGUAGCAACACAUCCUGAUGCGAUCUUCUCUCUAAUGAAAUGACAGUCAACUUCAAUAUGCUUGGUCCUUUCAUGAAAGACUGGAUUGGAUGCAAUAUGUAAUGCGGCCUGGUUAUCACAGAUGAGUUUCAUCUGUUCAUCCUUUCCAAAUCUCAACUCCUGAAGAAGAUGUCUCAACCAUAUGAGUUCACAUGUUGCCAAAGCCAUAGCUCGAUACUCGGCUUCAGCGCUAGAUCUGGCCACUACAUCUUGUUUCUUACUCUUCCAAGAUAUUAGAUUACCUCCAAUAAAAACACAGUACCCUGAAGUGGAACGUCUAUCUGUGGGUGAGCCAGCCCAAUCUGCAUCUGUGUAACCAACAACUUGAGUAUGACCUCUGUUCUCGUACAAUACACCUUGGCCUGGUGUACUUUUGAUAUAUCGAAGAAUACGGAUUACGGCAUCCCAAUGGCUAUCACAUGGUGACUGUAGGAAUUGACUAACAACACUCACAGGAAAAGAAAUGUCUGGACGAGUAAUGGUGAGAUAGUUCAAUUUACCUACGAGCCGUCGAUAUCUCCCGGGGUCUCCUAAAGGCUCCCCCUGUCCUGGUACAAGUUUGACAUUCGGAUCCAUAGGUGUGUCUACCGGUUUACAGUCUAACAUACCGGUUUCUUCCAGGAUGUCUAAAGCAUACUUCCUUUGGGAAAGGACCACACCAGAACUGGAUUGAGCUAUCUCAAUUCCCAAGAAAUACUUGAGUUUCCCCAAGUCUUUGGUCUGAAAGUGGGUAAAAAGAUGUUGCUUUAGUUUCUGAAUACCAUCCUGAUCACUGCCUGUAAUGACGAUGUCGUCCACAUAAACAACCAGAUAAAUACACUGCCCCAAGGAGUUAUGAUGAUAAAAAACUGAAUGGUCUGCUGUACUGCGAAGCAUGCCAAACUCUUGAACAACAGAACUAAAACGGCUAAACCAUGCUCGAGGAGAUUGUUUCAAGCCAUAUAGAGAGCGGCGUAACCUGCACACUAAACCAGACUCCCCCUGAGCAACAAAACCAGGAGGUUGCUCCAUAUAAACUUCCUCAGCAAGAUCACCAUGAAGGAAGGCAUUUUUAAUAUCCAACUGAUAAAGAGGCCAAGAACACAUAGCAGCCAUGGACAGAAGCAAGCGGACAGAAGCAAUCUUGGCAACAGGGGAGAAUGUGUCACCAUAAUCAGAACCAUAAACUUGAGUAUAGCCUUUAGCAACUAAGCGGGCCUUAAGGCGAUCAACCUGACCAUCAGGACCAACCUUAACUGCAUAGACCCAACGACAACCAACUGUAGAUUUACCAGAGGGUAAAACAACAAGAUCCCAAGUGCCAUUAGAGUGCAGAGCAGCCAUUUCAUCCACCAUUGCCUGUCGCCAGCCUGGAUGGGAAAGAGCUUCAUGGGUGCUCUUUGGAAGAGAAACAGAGGAUAUAGCAGAAACAAAAGCAGAAUAGGGUGAAGAUAAUCGAUGAUAACUCAAAAAAUUGUAAAUAGGAUGAGGAUUACGAGUAGAGCGAGUACCUUUCCGAACAGCAAUGGGUAAGUCAUUAGGAGAAGGCAGAGCCGGGGCAGGUGAAGCCGAAGGGAUAGGAAGUGAGUCAGCAGGUGCCUCAGGAAAAGGGAGAGGAGCAACGACACGAGGGCGACGAUGAUAAACCUGAAGUGGUCGAGGGGGCAUAGCAUCAGGUAGGGAGACAAUGGGAAUGGGCAAGACUUCAGAAACAGGAAGAGACUCAGAAGUGGUGGAAAAGAAUGGUGAGUCCUCAAAGAAGGUGACAUCAGCGGAGAUAAAGUACCGAUGAGUCUCAAGGGAAUAACAACGAUAACCCUUCUGAAGUCUGGAAUAUCCCAAGAAGAGGCACUUCAUGGCUUUGGCGGAAAGCUUGUCCUGUCCAGGAGUGAGAAUAUGAACAAAGCAAGUACAACCAAAGACACGAGGAGGAAGGAAAUAAAGUGGUUGGUCAGGGAAAAGAAGGGAGUGAGGAAUCUGAUCGUGUAAGACAGAGGAGGGCAUACGAUUAAUCAAAUAACAAGCGGUAAGAACAGCGUCCCCCCAAAAACGAAAAGGAACAUGAUUAUGGAGGAGGAGAGUACGAGCUGUCUCAACAAGAUGUCGAUUCUUGCGUUCAGCUACCCCAUUUUGUUGAGGAGUAUGAGCACAAGAAGACUGAUGAAGAAUCCCAUGAUGAGACAUAAACGAAGUAAAUUGGGCUGAAAAAUAUUCCCUGGCAUUGUCACUGCGUAACACACGAAUAGAAAUAUUGAACUGGGUUUGGAUUUCAGUAUAAAAUUUCUGGAAAAUAGAGAAUAACUCAGCUCGAUUUUUCAUUAAGAAUAACCAAGUACAUCGAGAAUAGUCAUCAAUGAAAGUGACAAAAUACUGAAAUCCUAAAGUAGACGCAGUCCGACAAGGACCCCAAACAUCAGUGUGGACAAGCUCAAAAGGAGACUUUGCCCGAUUAUUCAAACGCUUUGGGAACGAGACACGAGUAUGUUUCCCAAGCUGACAUGACUCACACGGAAGCGACGACAAAGUGGAAAAACGAGGAACCAUCUUCUGGAACUUGGAGAGACUAGGGUGGCCCAGACGAUUGUGAAUGAGGAGAGGAGCAUCAGUGGAAAUGCAAAUUGCAGGAGAUGAAUCUGAGGUGAGGUGAUAGAGGCCUUGAGACUCACGUCCUAUGCCAAUCGUCUUCCCCGUACUCCGGUCCUGCAAGGUCACAAAUUUAUCAGAAAAGGUAAUAGAGCAAUUAAGAGUACGAGUGAUUUUGCUGAUGGAAAUAAGAUUAAAAGGACAUUCAGGAGUAUAAAGGACAGAAGUGAGAGGUAGAGAAGGCAAAGGAAGGGCCAAACCAAUACCUUUAGCCACAGUUUGAGAACCAUUAGCUAAGGUAACAGUAGGUAAAUCAGAGGUAGUAGUAAUAGAGGAGAAAAGAUCCUUAUUACCAGAUAGGUGAUCAGAUGCUCCAGAAUCUAGAAUCCAGGGUCCAAGAGAAGAUGUGUGGGUAAGGCAGGCAGAGGCAUUACCAGGCUGGGCAACAGAGGCAAUAGAAGCCUGAGAUGUCUGAGAUACGGAGGAGCUCGGAGGCUGAGGCAGCGGAGAAUCAGAGGACUGGGCCAUAUGGGCAGUGCGAGGAGGUCUUCCAUGUAACUGAUAGCAACGAUCGCGAGUGUGGCCAAGUUUAUUGCAAUAGGUGCAAUGAGGACGUUGGCCUCUACCUCGGGUACCACUACGUCCUCCUCGAGAGGUAGUUUGAGAAACUAACACAGAAGAAUCUGAAGCGCUAUCAGAUGGCAAAGUCUGAGUGGACGAGAUACGGAGGAGGCGAGCAAACACAUCAUCCAAGGACGGAACUGAUGAACUACCAAGAAUCUGAUCACGAAUAGGCUCAAGAUCCGGACGGAGGCCGAUAAGAGUAAGGACCAUGAAGAACUUGUCAAGCUGUGUUUGUUGAGCCCCAACAUCAGGAGUAAGAGGCAUCACAGUCAAGAACUGCUCCUUAAGAGAGGCAAUCUGGCCAAUAUAAGUAGAUAGAUCCAAGUCCUGUUGGCUGAGAUGGACAAUAGCAGAAGCCACCUUAUAAAGACGCUGGAUAUCAUUCGUGUAUAAUCCUUUGGCCUGAGUCCAAAAUUUAAAACAAGUUUUAUAGGCCUGAAGAUGAAGAAGAAUUCGGGGAUCAACCGAUUGCCAUAAUACACUACACAACUGUGCAUCUAUCUUCCUCCACUGUACGCGGUCGACCUCAGGGAUAUCUGCCUCCUGUGUAAUCAAGUGAUCCUCAUAUCCUUGACCCAUAAACCAAAGUUCAACAGAGGCAGACCAGGAAAGAUAAUUUUCACUCCCAACUAAUUUCUCCGAAGUAAUCAUAGGAGAUCCAGAUAUGACAGAGGAAAAAAUGGAAGCUUUAGUAGCCAUAUCCACUUAUCUGGAGAAUGAAGUAUGUUUGGAUCGAAGAGAGCCCUAAUACGGCUUCAGAUUUCAGCGUGGCACCACCGAAAAAGGGAGACCGCCUCAGAUCGCGGUGUGGUACCACCAGAAAGGGAGAAGAACACUUCCCAAGGCACGUGCAGGGAUUGGAGUGGAGAAAAAGUGGUCGGAGCUUCGCCGGAAAGACUGUUUGGAGGGCCGACGGAGGCAAAAAUCCCCAAAAGAGGUACGUCCAGGGCUCGGAUGGGAGAACCAGGGAGGUGGGAAGGCUGAUCGGCGUCAGGCGAAGCUGGAGGAGGAGGCGCGUCGCCGGAAAAGCUCUCACGCGCCCCCACGCGCCGGCGCGUGAGAUUCAACCGCCGGCCGGAAAAUUGCGCGUGGCCGGCGCGUGGCUGCUCUUUUGGUGCUGGUGCCUUCACAAAAGUUGGAGAUCUCCUCCAGGCGCUCCUUCUGGUAUGGUCGGUGUCGGAAAAAUAGGUCGCCGGGAAAUUUCGCCGGAAAAUUUCGCCGGAAAGUUCGCCGGAAAAUUUCGCCGGAAAAUUUGCCAGCGGUGAGUGUUUUCUAACGACGAUCCGACUGACCGGAAAAAAUUGGGAGAUGGGGAAGGUGACCGGAAAGAAACACGGUCACCGGAAGGUUUCCCGGAGUUGAUGACACGGAAAACAGGAAAGAAUUAGGUUUUCUUCCUUGGCUCUGAUACCAUGUUGAGAGAGAGAGAGAGAAAGGAGAAAAACCUUAUUCACAUUCAUUGUAAUCUCUACUUACAAUUGAGAGAUAUAUAUAUACAAGGCUAGUAACUACCAUACAUGUGAC